rnacentral:rRNA from 1 species
UACGUAGGGUGCGAGCGUUAAUCGGAAUUACUGGGCGUAAAGCGUGCGCAGGCGGUUUUGUAAGUCAGAUGUGAAAUCCCCGGGCUUAACCUGGGAACUGCGUUUGAAACUACAAGGCUAGAGUGUGGCAGAGGGGGGUGGAAUUCCACGUGUAGCAGUGAAAUGCGUAGAGAUGUGGAGGAACACCGAUGGCGAAGGCAACCCCCUGGGUUAACACUGACGCUCAUGCACGAAAGCGUGGGGAGCAAACAGG